GCACAGCCCAGAGUCCCAUCCAACCUGCAGGCUGCACUAAGGCUCUGAGUGUUAAUUCUGCAGUCUUCCCUCUCGACAGCUUGCUGAGAGCCUUCAGACAGGACUCACAGACACUCAGACACACAGCACCCAUUCACUGCCAUGGUGACAGCAGGAACCACAGCCCUGGGGUUUGGCAGGCCAGCUCCUGCCAGCGUCCUUUCGUUGUCUCCCAGCUGCCCAGCACAGGAGAGGAACAGCAAAGGCAGCAGUCUGGAGGACAUCCUUCGCCCAUCGGUGGGCAGCCAGGGCUGUUGGCACAUCGCAGAGCACCACGAGCGGGACGUGCUGCUCUUCCAGUUCCUUGGAGGUAUCAGGAGGAAAGGCAUCACGUGCCAUUACGUCAGUUCUCAAGCUGCUCAUUCAGACAUUGCCACGAUACAGCUCCUCUCCCCAUUCCAUAGCAGCUCAUUUCCACAACGCCGAAGAAUCCACGUCUCUUUUCCAUACGGCGACUUAAAGUGGAAAGAUGAAGGGGAUGGGAACGUGCAUUCGUUCCUAUCGUGCUGUCAGACAGCAGGGAGGUUUGGCCCUGCUCCUGCAGGCAGCCCCCCGACAGCAUGGGAGCCCAUGGGAAGAACGGGGCUGUCUUCAGUCACUGCAGGAAUGACUUAUGGUUAAAAUUAAAUCCGGUUUAGUCAAC
rnacentral:lncRNA from 1 species